rnacentral:rRNA from 1 species
AAUCAACGCUGGCGGCGUGCCUAACACAUGCAAGUCGAACGCGAAAGUGGAGCAAUCCAUGAGUAGAGUGGCGAACGGGUGAGUAACGCGUGAGCAACCUGUCUCUUACAGGGGGAUAACACAGCGAAAGUUGUACUAAUACCGCAUAGGACCACGGGCCCGCAUGGGGUUGGGGUCAAAGGAGAAAUCCGGUAAGAGGUGGGCUCGCGUCCCAUUAGGUAGUUGGUGAGGUAACGGCCCACCAAGCCAACGAUGGGUAGCCGAUCUGAGAGGGUGAUCGGCCACAUUGGGACUGAGACACGGCCCAAACUCCUACGGGAGGCAGCAGUAGGGAAUCUUCCGCAAUGGACGAAAGUCUGACGGAGCAACGCCGCGUGAGUGAAGAAGGUUUUCGGAUCGUAAAACUCUGUUGUCAGAGAAGAACAAGUCGGAGAGUAACUGCUCCGGCCUUGACGGUAUCUGACCAGAAAGCCACGGCUAACUACGUGCCAGCCGCCGCAGUAAUAC